rnacentral:tRNA from 1 species
CCUAAAUGGUGAAGAAUCUGCCUGCAAUGCAGGAGACCCAGGUUCAAUUCCUGG